AUGGAAAGAAACAGGUCCAGAGAGGAGAAGGGACUCGCCCUCAUCGCUGGAUCUGAACUCGUAUCCUUGAGGUCAGAAUUCCACUGCCCAGGGAUGCUUCUUCAGCUCCUAGUUCUAUCCAAGGUGCCUUCACACAGCCUCCUUGCAAUGCUGAGAUCCCUCAUUUACACAGGAGGAAACCGAGUCACAGCAAGUACAGGCCAGUGGUCUGGGGCUGUAGGGGAAAGAGAGGAUCUGCCCAUCCCCCUAAUGCUUCCUUCUGAGCCUCAUUCCAGCUUGCUUCCCCUGCUCCCAAGGGCUAUUUAGUUUCCCCUCCCAUCCCAGAGGCUCCCCCCCUUCCCAAGCCUCUGUGACCCACCCCCACCUCCAGCUGCUGGGAUGACUGACUGACUGACAGGGUGGCCUUGGGCUGGGGGAGGGAGGAUUGUGGAAGAAACAGCUGCCAGCUUCCAGAAGUUGAUAUCCUUCAUGGCCUCUCCAACAGCCCAAGGGGCAUUUUCCCAAUAAUAAGGGGUUGUUGGGGGCCAGACAGGAAAAUGGAGGACCUUGCCUGGGUCUCAGUUUUUCCCUUUAUAAAAUGAGGUGUUUGGACUCAAUGGCCUUUGUUUUCAUUCACGUGUGUCUGUGAAUGUGCGUAUGAUUUUAUCUGGGCAUUUUCUUUGUCUUUAAAAUGAGGUUACAUUGUGUAUGUGCAUACACCAACCCCACAUAGAUAUCAAAGCACCGUAGAUCCAAAAACAGAUCAAAGAGCCAACCCCCCUCAUUUUACAGAGGAGGAAACUGAGGCUGAGACAAAGGAAGUGACUAGCUCAAGGUCACAUGGGGCUCUUGUGGCAGGCACAUCUGCUCCAGAUCCAGGAUCUUGAGCUCUCUAAGGUCCUUUUCCAGUUCUGAUAUUCUUAGGCAAUCCUGGCCUAGUUGUCUAUAGUCACUGAUCAAGGACCUAGCUUGGGCCAGCAAGCACUGUGCUAAGCCCCUCUAGCAGAGAUAAGAGGAAGUCCAUUGUUGUUGUUUGCUAGGAGCAGAGACCACGGGCAAAUCAGGGGUGGUCCAGCCUAACCCCCUCUUCUUGCAACCCCAAACACAUAUUUAUAGACAAAAUUCCCACCCCCAGAUCCCCCGUCCACAUGCAAAUCAUAAUGUCCCCAGAGCUCCAUCAAGUCCAAAUACUUCAGUUUAGAAAAAAUGACUGAAUGGACAGCAGCCUCCAACAGACAGAGAGGAGGAAACUGAGGCUCAGGGAAAUGAUUUACUUGGCCAGAGUCACACAGCUAGUAAAGUUUGGAGGCAUGAUUUGAACUUGGGU
rnacentral:lncRNA from 1 species